AUGGGUGAAUGAAGUUAGCCCCUCAAAAAAAAUUUUUUUUCCUGUUUUCUACUUAUUUUCUAUUAAUUCGUUUGUUCAUCAUUUGUUCUUGAUUGUUCACUGUUAAUAAUUGUUUGUUCCCCAUUUAUUUAUUUUAAAAAAAAUAUUAAAAAUAUAUCUAAAAGUUAGCCCCUCGAUUGCAAUUUUUAAUAUUUUUUCGUCCUUAAUUACUCGUAAAUAUUCAUUUUCGAUUGUUCUUAUAUAAAAUACGUUUGUUCUCUUUCGAAAUUACUCAUUUUUUGUUUAAUUAAUUGUAUUAGUUGAAUAAAUGUAUACAAAAUAUGUGUACUGCGCAUGCCAUAAGUGUAUAAUCUAUGGCGCAUGCGUCAACUGUAAUGCCUAAACUUUCUACGCGGUUUUAAUCGUGAAAAAAAAACAAUUAUAAAUCCUGAAGGAUCAAUUAAUUGGUAUACAGUUUUAUUAAAAAAAUUAAAAACAAAAUAAAUAAAAUAAUGUGCAUUCGCGUAAAGUUAGCCCAAAUACAUUUUUUCUAUCCUCCUAUAUACCUAUCGCUAUGAAGGUAUAAAAAAGAUAGGUUAAGAGUUCACAUAGGUAAUAUAAACAAAUAAGUAAAUAUGUUCAUUAUUUAUCUUUCAAGAGAUAAUGUAGGUAUACAUUAUAAUAACAUUUUGACACAGUCGAAAUUAUAUUCCUAACAUUAGUAAAAUAACAUUUUAAUAUUUUUUUUAUAGGUUAUGUAUUGAAAUUGUUGGAAAAUUAUUUCAUGUUUUAGCUGGAAAACUACAUGGAGAAUUAUAUGCAAUACAAGAUAAUGAGCUCCAUCAAAUGAAUUCGAAUGAAACCAAACUGUUUACCAUCCAAAUUCGAUUGUCGGGCAGAUAGAAAACGAAAAUUCACUCAUAGUGAACCUCGGCCUGCAUAUUUUGUGAAACGGCAAAGACUCACUAUUAUCAAGGAAAUUGAAGAGACGACUAAAAAUGAGAUGUGUCGUAUUAUUAUACCUUUGCCAUCUUGUAGUCAAGAUGUCCAGUCACUUGAAAAUAGGUGUAGUAAUGACAAAGCUAUCCAAGUAGCUCCAGCACAGGAACACAAAGGCAAGGCAAGUGUGUAUUGCCACAUCACCCCUUAAUAUAUCUGAAGCAAGUAUAAGUAAACAAUCAGAACCAGCAAAAAAAAAAACUGUUGUUCCUAAGGACAAAUUUGACAGUGAUGAGUCAAAUGCACCAGCAACAGAAGGAUCAACUGUUGACUAUGGGUUAUAGAAGAAGAAGAUUAAUUCAUAUUUAUUUAAAUUAAUAUUAAUGAAUAUUAAUUUAAAUUAUCGUGCAAAAUUCGUUUUCAAAACAUAUGUGUAUUUUAUAAAUAAAUAUUCAUUCUCAGUAUUAAUGUUGUUUUAAUCAUCGAUUGAAAAAUUGGUUCUUAAUGAAUUUAGUUGGAGCUAAAUGCUGCUUGGAGCUUAAUACUUUCGAAUAACAUAAACACGUGACUUUAAGCAUAAACAUAUUUUUUAGGUAAAUACUUUAUUUAGCUUUGCUGGAUUUAUCCAAGAUUUCGACAUACCAAAAUUUCAUACAGGAACGACAGAUAGAUAGCUAUCUGAUUGAAUACCCUUGUAGAAUUGAGCUUCGAAGAAAAGUUUAUUCUUAUUCUUUAUUAGACUUUAUUCUAGUUGCAGUUUCGGUUAGAGAAGCUUGCACAGCUUCUCUAACCGACACUGCAUGGAAUAAAUAGUCAUUAUAAUUAUAAAAUAUAUUUCUGUUUACAUACCAUACAAUUUUCAUAGUUCAAAUAUGAAUUUGGAUUGAUAUGAAUUUAUUUCGAUUAUCAAAAUAAUUUGUAUUAAACAUUUAUAUUUCCUCAAAAUUUCUAUUUUUAUAAUAAUGACUGUGACCACCCCAUAAAUCACAAAAUUAAAAAUAUUAAAGAUAACUUAUUUUUAAAUCAUAUAUUAAAAAUUAUAAACAGAUCGCGAAUUAAAAUAUUAUAUUAUGCCUAUCAUUCUUAAAUAAUUCAGUAAUGAAUUUUCGCAUCGCCGCGCCGUAUAUAAUUAAUAUGAAUAAUAGGGUAUUGCCCACUGUGCUAAAAAAAAACAUAAAUUAUGUUUUUUUGAUAGAUCUACAAACAAGCAAGUGAGUAAUGCUAUGUUUCCAUAAAUAAAAAGGCAAAAAAAAAAUUAAAGAAAGAUAUUAUGCACAAGUUCAAAUGCAUAUGUAUUGCGCUAAAAGUAAAACUUGCUACUUUUGUGUAGCAUCCAGCAACUUUGAAAAAACUAAUCAGGUCACUAUAAUUAGUAGGUAUUGAUUUUGAUUCCGAGUAAGUUGCACAGUUGUUAGAUAAUGUAGUUUCUUUUUGGAAGAAUAACAAUUUUCUAAUCUUACACAAAAAUGUAAUGUUAAAUAUUUAAAAAAAACUUUAUACCUAUUUUCCUUUUAGGGAGUACAAAAUAUUGAUGUGUACAAAGUGAAUGUGAUUUAAUAAAAAUAAUAUUUCAAUUUAAA